CGCAGUUUAACCUGGGGAGUACUGAAGAGGCCCGUGCCCUUGUCCACCCAGUCUUUUCCUCUGUAGAACCUUUCUGUAAGCUCCUGUUCACGUGAGGAAGUGUGGGCCAUCCUUGCCUAGGCGGCUGUUUUAUGCUUUAAUUACACUAGAAAAACUGAUUCUUCAUUUUUCUUUCCCUUUAGAAAUAAGGAGAUGAAGUUUAGCUUGGGCACACUUAACGAGGCCGCUAUCCCCUGUCAUAUUCUAUGUGUGGCCUGUGGCAUUGUGUCCUGUUGUGCUCCGGACCUGCUACCGGAGAAUCUGUAUAAAACUGGUGAGACGCGACUGUUAAAGCUAUUUCUGGUGUGACUCUGAAUUGCUCGAAGUAGGUCACGGGCCGUGGCUGAGUGAAGAGAUGAGACUUAACGAGGAGGAUAGAGAGCUGUAGCCAGAGACUUUGGAGUGAAAAGGCAGAAGCGAGCUCCAGAAGAGAACAAAACUGUCUCUACCCAGAAUGAAUGAGUUGGCAACAGCCAGAAGAGCCAAGAAUGCUCCGUGAGGCACUGUGUAAACUCCACGCUUCCAGAUCCUUGCUUUAAGGGGCACUAGCCACGCUGCUUCCAGCAUCUGCGAAAGGCACUGAGCGACGCUAAAGAGCCUUCGCUGCGCGUUGGAGUCUGGGAUGCCCGUCUCUCUCCAAUGGGGCUAGGAGCCUUUGGAAAUGAUCACCCAUUUUCUGCUGAAGCUGCUUGGGAAAAUGACGGUUGAGGAACAUCUCGAUCUCUCCCGCAUCGUAGCUGUGCUCUCCGGAACUUGGUGAUGAAGGGAGGCUGUCAGUUCCAGGAGUACCCAAGAUGUCAUGUUGUAAGCAUCUCGUGAUGCUCAGUAGGUACCCUGCAGGCCAGGUUUGCCUCCCGGUCGUUAAGCAUACUGAAGGCCGCGCUGAGGACGUGGUUGCCCGUCCCUCCCUUGGGGAUGCCGUCGACUGCACCCGCCUCGCCUGUGCCUGGCCUGGCUCGCCUCGUGGCGUGGGGGCGAAAAGGGACAGGCGGCGGCGGAGCGCUUACCGGCCGUGGACAGGAGCUGCCCUAAGGGAAGCUGGAAUGGCCAGAGAAAGGUGAAGAAGAAGAAGAAGAAGAGAUGGAAGGCUCUCCGGCCGGCAGCUGCCUCCCGCUGCAGGCAAGAGAGCGCCUGCCUCGCCGGGCGGAGGACAGCCGAGCGACCGGAGUGACAGCAAAGGAAAGGCGGAGAGCAGGAGAAAGAAGCGUCUGCGCUGGCAAGCUCUCCCGGCAGCGCCGAGAGCCAGAGCUGCGGUGAGUCCUGGGCCCGCGGGGCCCCAUCGCCUCUCCUCUGCGUCGCGGGCCCUCCUCUGCCCCCCUCGCUUUCCCACCCCGCUGUGGGGUUUUUUGGUUUGCUUUCUGCUCCCCGCUAUGUUCUUUUUCCAUCUCGCUCUGACGGGCUGCCUGUCCCCACCUUUUUUAGGUC